GCCCCUUUAGCUCAGUUGGUAGAGCGCGACACUAGUAUCCAUCAAGAUGCCGAGAUGUCGAGGCCGCCGGUUCGAAUCCGUCAGGGGGCA